AGGGCUGAGCCAGGGCGGGCUGAGGCACAGGGGCCGGGCCCCUGGCCCCCACCCUAGCCCUCCUGGAUGGGGCCACAGCUGGCCAGCAGGCCUCCAGAUGUUCCCCCAGACCCCCCAAGCUCCCCUCCUCACCCUCUGCUUCUAUAACUCUGAGGCUUUGGCUUCACCCCUUCACCCCCCUCCGCCAAAACUUACAUUUCAAACUCUGGCCCUUUAAGGCUACUGUCUGGGCUUCUGUCAGAACAUCCGUGUGGCAAUAUAGUGACUUAUGGGUCCCUCUGGGUUCUAGCCGCGCCCCCCAUUCCUGAAGCAUACACACACUGGGAUCAUGGAGUUGGCAGGAAGGGAGCAAAUACACCUUCACCGCCACUGUCCUUGCUCUUGGCCUCCCGCCAGGGGCACCAUUGACUUUUCUGGGGCAGGGAUCCAGCUGUCCAGGCCCAGCAUCAUCUGCCUUUCCGGGGGGAUGGCUGGCCCAGAGAGCAGCCCAAUUAUCUGUGGGAAGGGAGGCCUGAGGUGCCCCUGGGAAGGCGUCCCCUGAUGAUUGUAAAUGUCGGGUGAUGAUUCCAGGUUUUUAGUUGCAAAGUGGGAUGACCAUAUUGAGGACAAAGGUUUACAGACCUACCUUCCUAAAUGCGGGCGUGUGGUGAACACAGCAGCAAGGGGCGAGGCUCCCAGGGCUUCCGGAAGGCUGAGGGACGGGCACAGCCCCUUCCGUGCAAGGCUGGAGGAAACAGUCCCCGCCUUCCCUGAGUCAGUGCGAUUAGCAGGUGCAAAGUCCACGGACCCUUCCCUCCUCUGCCCUGGCAGUCAGGCAGCCUCUGAGAGUGACUGAGGGCUAGGCCCCUCGGGAUGUCCUCCCCUCUUGCUGACCCAGCGCCUCGUUCUGCAUCUGCAAAAAGGGCCCGUGAGAGCUCCCGCCUCUGGGGAAUUGCACCAGGGGUUGGACCCGCACGCACACCCAUCUCGUUCUCACCCCGCAGGCAGGAAACCGUGCCCAGCAUCUUGCUGGCCUCGGCCAAGGGAGGGCGAGCGCCAGCACAAGGACAGCCAGGGCGAGGUCUCCACAGGCGAACCAGCCGGUCCUUCCCCUGGAGCCGCAGAUCGCCUUCGCCCCCGGCCUUCUGCCUCCCAGGCCACAACGCGGGGGCACAGGCCCUACACCGCUGCCCGCACCUUACUGACACGGCACCCGUUUUUCUGCAUCUGCGAGACUGUCCCCUCUAGGCCGUCACAUUCAGAACCAGCAGGCAGCUGCCAAACAGGGGCUGUUUCUGAUGGUUCGUAUUUUGUUUUGUUGUGCUGUAAUUGUCUUUUUUUUUUUUUUUUUUUUGGUCUUACUUGAUACAGUGAAGUGCACAUUUCAAAGUGUUUUGACAAAUGUCUCCACUGAGUGUCCGCUGCCCCUUAAAGAUCAGGGCUGAGGUUCUCAGACGCUCACAUGCCGGGAAAGCGUCCUCGCUGCCCCACGGCUCCUGGCUCGGUGGGUCUGGGCGGGGAGAGAACGGACAUGUUGGACAUGUCGAGAGUUCCUGGGACCUGUUGCUACUAACCUGCCCACACUCCUAAGCAUCUGGGGCGAGUAUUUCUAUCGCACCAGAAAGCUCCCCUGUGGCCCUUCUGGUCAGCUCCAGCCUCCCCCAGAGGCAGCCCGCCUGUCCGUGAACUUCACACGCUGGAAUCCUUGGCAUGCGUCCUUCGGUGUCUGGCUCCUUUCAGGCAGCACAGUGCUCCUGAGGGUUGUGCAGGGGCACUGCUGGGGUCACUAGCCCUUCCUGUCGUCGCAGGGUAGCAUUUCCCUGCAUGGGGCCACCAGCCUGUCCUCUUCUCCUGCUGAUGGAUGUUGGGUUGUUUCCAGUUUGGGGCUGGAAUAAAACUUCUAUGAUUAUCUGUGUGCA